CUGACAUGUGUGCAAGUCAUCGAGUGUGGAAAUUCGUUGGACGUAAGGAAGUUAAUUGAUGGAAUCCUUAUUAUUGUUUGGUGCACCGUCGACCGACCUGGAUCUUUUGUGAAAGGUUCGAGUGUGAGCAUACCUGUCGG
rnacentral:ncRNA from 1 species